UAGAGGUUAAGCCCGAUGAACCUGAAUAUCCAUUAUGGAAAAUUCAACAUUAAUAUUAUAAUAUUUAUUUAUAAAUAUUAUAAAAAUAGUGUGCAAUUUUUCCAUAUAAGGACAUUGUAAUCUGUUAAUGUAAUAAAUAUUUAUCAUAAGAUUCAAUAUAUAAAAGUUUAUUUAAAUUAGUUAUUUUUCCGAUUUCUAACAUAGAAUAAAUUUAAUUGAAUUUGAUAAAUCAUUGACAGAUUUAUUUAUAUAUAGUGCUUAAAUUCUUAUUUGAAUUUUACAAUAAUAUUUAAAUGUAUUUUCAUUUAUUUAUUUAUUGUAUGCACUUAUAUGAUUAACAAUGCUAUAGAUUCAGGAUAC
rnacentral:rRNA from 1 species